GCUGGAGGCACAGGGCAGAACAG
rnacentral:miRNA from 1 species